rnacentral:rRNA from 1 species
UACAGAGGUCUCAAGCGUUUGUUCGGAUUUAUUGGGCGUAAAGGGCGCGUAGGCGGCGGGGUAAGUCGGGUGUGAAAUCUCAGGGCUCAACCCUGAAACUGCACUUGAUACUGCUCUGCUUGAGGACUGGAGAGGAGACUGGAAUUCACGGUGUAGCAGUGAAAUGCGUAGAUAUCGUGAGGAAGACCAGUGGCGAAGGCGGGGUCUCUGGACAGUUCCUGACGCGUG